GAGUGAGAUGAAAAAACUGCAACCAACUUCAGACUGCUGUCAUUUCUAAGCCCCUCGUCCGACAGCUGUUAAAAUUAUUACAGUGAUAGCUCAUUAUAUUGUUAUCAAGCGUACAAAAGCAUUUUUGUGAGAAUUUUCAAGAAAAGAACGUAGCCCGACAUCAAGGAAGUAGACGGAAGAAAA